UGAGUACGAGAUGCUACGGCGUCGAAGCAGUGUAUGUCAGACUUCCAAGAAAAGCUCGCAAUGUCAUAAAUAAAUAAUGCCUGUACCAUAACCGACACAGGUGGGUAGGUAGAGUAUACUAAGGGGCGCGAGAUAACUCUCUCUAAGGAACUCGGCAAAAUAACUCCGUAACUUCGGGAGAAGGAGUGCCUUAUUUUAUAAGGUUGCAAUAACAAGAUCCAAGCAACUGUUUACCAAAAACACAGGUCUCCGCUAAGUCGUAAGACGAUGUAUGGGGGCUGACGCCUGCCCAGUGCCAGAAGGUUAAAGAAGUCGGUUAGCUUUACGAAGCUGAUAACUGAAGCCCUGGUGAACGGCGGCCGUAACGAUAACGGUCCUAAGGUAGCGAAAUUCCUUGUCGGGUAAGUUCCGACCCGCACGAAAGGCGGAAUGAUUUGCAUACUGUCUCGGAGAGGGACUCGGUGAAAUAGACUUGUCUGUGAAGAUGCGGACUACCUGCACCAGGACAGAAAGACCCUAUGAAGCUUUACUGUAACUUGAAAUUGAAAUUGGUCUUUAUUUGCGCAGUAUAGGUGGGAGGCGUUGAAAAUAAUCUUGCGGGAUUAUUGGAGCCAUCAGUGAGAUACCACUCCUAUAAUGUUAGAUUUCUAACUUUGUAUCAUAAUCUGGUCAAAGAACAGUUUCAGGCGGGCAGUUUGACUGGGGCGGUCGCCUCCCAAAUGGUAACGGAGGCGUACAAAGGUUUCCUCUGAACGGGUAGAAAUCGUAUCUAGAGUGUAAAGGCAUAAGGAAGCUUGACUGUGAGACCUACAAGUCGAGCAGGGACGAAAGUCGGUCUUAGUGAUCUGACGGUGCUGAGUGGAAAGGCCGUCACUCAACGGAUAAAAGUUACUCUAAGGAUAACAGGCUGAUCUCCCCCAAGAGUUCACAUCGACGGGGAGGUUUGGCACCUCGAUGUCGGCUCAUCGCAUCCUGGGGCGGUAGUACGUCCCAAGGGUUGGGCUGUUCGCCCAUGAAAGCGGUACGCGAGCUGGGUUCAGAACGUCGUGAGACAGUUCGGUCCCUAUCCGGUGUAGGCGUUAGAAUAUUGAGAGGAGCCUUCUUUAGUACGAGAGGACCGAGAAGGACAUACCUCUGGUGUACCAGUUAUCGUGCCAACGGUAAACGCUGGGUAGCUAUGUAUGGAGAGGAUAACCGCUGAAAGCAUCUAAGUGGGAAGCCCACCUCAAGAUGAGUAUUCUCAUCACGUAAGUGAGUAAGGUCACGGUAAGACUAACCGUUUGAUAGGCAUUAAGUAUAAAUAUAGUAAUAUAUGAGCUGAGAUGUCCUAACAGACCGAGGACU
rnacentral:rRNA from 1 species